rnacentral:lncRNA from 1 species
ACAAACAAAGUCAAACAAGCAAAGCAACCAAUGUGAAAGGCACAAGCUCAACUCAAAGGAGCUAAAAGCCACCUACAAGACAAAUCAAGAUUAGUCACUCAUCAACCAAAUAAUCCAAUUCAAGCAAAUGUAUCAAUCCUCUCAUGGCCAUGUGCUUCUUAUCCUGAAAACAAAGCUCAAACAUAAGCACCAACCACUAGGACAAGGCCUAGGGUCAAAGAGGGGGAAAUAAUUCAAAACAGAACAUGAAAAUUGACAUGAA